CAAGAUGAGAUUUCCCAUCGCGUCAAGCGAGUAAGAUCCCUUGAAGAUGACAAGGUAGAUAGGUCCGAGGUGGAAGCGUGGCGACACGUGCAGCUGACGGAUACUAAUCGAUCGAGGACUUAACUAAG
rnacentral:rRNA from 1 species